rnacentral:tRNA from 1 species
GGGGUUGUGGCUCAGUGGUAGAGUACUUGCUUGUCAUGUGUGAGGCACUGGGUUCGAUCCCCAGCACCA